AUUGAACGCUGGCGGCAUGCCUUACACAUGCAAGUCGAACGGCAGCACGGGAGCAAUCCUGGUGGCGAGUGGCGAACGGGUGAGUAAUAUAUCGGAACGUGCCCAGUCGUGGGGGAUAACGCAGCGAAAGCUGUUCUAAUACCGCAUACGAUCUACGGAUGAAAGCGGGGGAUCGCAAGACCUCGCGCGAUUGGAGCGGCCGAUAUCAGAUUAGCUAGUUGGUGGGGUAAAGGCCCACAAAGGCGACGAUCUGUAGCUGGUCUGAGAGGACGACCAGCCACACUGGAACUGAGACACGGUCCAGACUCCUACGGGAGGCAGCAGUGGGGAAUUUUGGACAAUGGGCGCAAGCCUGAUCCAGCAAUGCCGCGUGCAGGAUGAAGGCCUUCGGGUUGUAAACUGCUUUUGUACGGAACGAAACGGCUCCUUCUAAUACAAGGGGCUAAUGACGGUACCGUAAGAAUAAGCACCGGCUAACUACGUGCCAGCCGCCGCAGUAACAC
rnacentral:rRNA from 1 species